GCCUCAGUAGCUCAGUUGGUUAGAGCAUAGUACUGAUAAUGCCAAGGUUGCAGGUUCAGGCCCCACGUGGGAUA